AGUGAACGCUGGCGGUAGGCCUAACACAUGCAAGUCGAACGGCAGCACAGUAAGAGCUUGCUCUUACGGGUGGCGAGUGGCGGACGGGUGAGGAAUACAUCGGAAUCUACUUUUUCGUGGGGGAUAACGUAGGGAAACUUACGCUAAUACCGCAUACGACCUACGGGUGAAAGCAGGGGAUCUUCGGACCUUGCGCGAUUGAAUGAGCCGAUGUCGGAUUAGCUAGUUGGCGGGGUAAAGGCCCACCAAGGCGACGAUCCGUAGCUGGUCUGAGAGGAUGAUCAGCCACACUGGAACUGAGACACGGUCCAGACUCCUACGGGAGGCAGCAAUGGGGAAUAUUGGACAAAGGGCGCAAGCCUGAUCCAGCCAUACCGCGUGGGUGAAGAAGGCCUUCGGGUUGUAAAGCCCUUUUGUUGGGAAAGAAAAGCAGCAGGUUAAUACCCCGCUGUUCUGACGGUACCCAAAGAAUAAGCACCGGCUAACUUCGUG
rnacentral:rRNA from 1 species